UACGUAGGGUGCAAGCGUUGUCCGGAAUUAUUGGGCGUAAAGAGCUUGUAGGCGGUUUGUCGCGUCUGCUGUGAAAUUUCGGGGCUCAACCCCGAACUUGCAGUGGGGUACGGGCAGACUAGAGUGUGGUAGGGGAGACUGGAAUUCCUGGUGUAGCGGUGAAAUGCGUAGAUAUCGGGAGGAACACCUGAGGCGAAGGCGGGCUACUGGGCCGAUACUGACGCUGAUGUGCGAAAGCCAGGG
rnacentral:rRNA from 1 species